UGAGCGCCAAGGCUAUGGAAGCCUCUUGAGUUCACAAACACUGAGCUUAUUUAAACAAGGCCAUAGUCAAAGUGGAAGUUCUCUCCUUCCUUCAGAGAAAGUAGCCGGAGAGGUCUGCUAUCCCUGACUACACAGAUCAAAGAUGUGAGUGGGUUGAGCUAUGAGGCAGAUUGCAUUUCCUGCACCCCAGUUGGCAUGCUCUUCACUUCACAAUGGAAUGGUGAGCUCCUGCUCUGACAGCCCUUUGUGACAUCCAAGGAAGCCCAGCCCCCACAGAAGCUGUGCUAGGUGUGUUAGACAACGGCUUUGCUGACAUGCCAGCCCAUAGCCAGAAUCAAUGCAGCAUGUGAAUGAGGAAGAUGACUCCAAGACCAGAGGCCAUCAAACUACACGAGAAAAAAGCUGCAAGAGGCAUUUGCUCCAAGCAAACCCCCAGAACUUUUUGAAGACAGAUGAAGGGAGCCGAGAGCUAAGGAACAUGGACUUUGGGAGGUGGGAAAUGCAUGGAAACAGCUGCUCCUCCACAGCCCCCAGAAAGUAACACAGCUGCCCAGGGGGACCUGUGUCAGACUUUCAACUCCAGAGAGUCAAGUAAAUAAAUAAGAAUAAAAAUUAAAAUUGUGUGAGAAGCAAGCAGCUUUUAUCCCUUCUGAUAAAUGCUGUGUUGAGAUGCUGUGUAUUAUGAGAAGAGAGAGAGCAAUACCAGCUAUAAUUAUUCACUGUGGCUCUGAGGUAACACUAUAAUCACCAAAUACAAAACUUAGCUAUAAACCCAAGGAGCAGAGUGAAAUCUGGUAGAAACGUCUAUCUUACUGUACAGAUUCUCGUCAUUUUCAGGUUUGGUCCUUUUGAAGCAUCAUGCAAUAGCCAGGACAAUUUAUUUUCUCAUUUACAAAUGACUAACCUGUAUCUCUGAAGGAAACAACACCCAUGAGGACCCUGACAUCCCAGGAAACACCCAUGCAACCCUGGCAUCGCUGGAAACACCCAUGGGGACCGACCCUGGCAUCCCAGGAAACAACACCCAGGCAGACCCAGGCAUCCCUAGAAACAACACCAAGCAGACCCUGAAAUCCUAGGAAACAACACCCACACAGACCCUGUCAUCCCAAGAAACAAACCCACGCAGACUCUGGCAACCCAGGAAACAACACCCACGCAGAGCUUGACAUCCCAGGAAAGAAUACAUACAUGAACCAAGACAACCCAGGAAACAAUACCCAUACAGACCCUGGCAUCCCAGGAAACAACACCCAUGAGACCUUAGCAGACCUGGAAACAACACCAACGUGGAACCUGGUAUCCCAGGAAACAACACCCACGCAGACCCUGACAUCCCAGGAAACACCACCCACAUGAACCCUGGCAUCCAAGGAAAAAACACCCACGCAGACCCUGGCAUCCCAGGAAACAACACACAUGCAUACCCUGUCAGACCCUGGAAACAACACCAACAUAGAACCUGUCAUCCCAGGAAACAACACCCAUGCAGACCCUGACACCCCAGGAAACAACACACACACGAACCCUGGCAUCCCAGGAAAAAACACCCAUGCAGACACUGGCAUUUCUGGAAGCAACACACACGCAGACCUUGGCAUCCCAGGAAACAACAAUCACACGGAUCCUGGCAUCCCAGGAAGCAACACCCAUGCAGACCCUGGCAUCCCUGGAAACAACACCCACACAGACCCUGGCAUCCCAGGAAACAACACCCAUGCAGACACUGUCAUCCCAGGAAAGAACAUACACAGGGACCCUAGUAUCCCAGGAAACAACACCCACAUGGACCCUGGCAUUCCUGGAAACAACACCCACAUGGACCCUGGCAUCCUAGGAUACAACAUCCAUGCAGACCCUGGCAUCCCUGGAAACAACACCCACGCAGACCCUGGCAUACCAGCGAACAACACCCACACGGAUCCUGGCAUCCCAGGUAACAACACCCACACAGAUCCUGGCAUCCCAGGAAACAACACCCAUACAGACCCUGGCAUACCAGUGAACAACACCCAUACGGAUCCUGGCAUCCCAGGUAACAACACCCACACGGAUCCUGGCAUCCCAGGAAACAACACCCACACAGACCCUGGCAUCCAUCAAAAAGCACCUAUGCGGACCCUGGCAUCCCAGGAAACAACACCCACACAGACCCUGGCAUCCCUGGAAAGAACACCCACAUGGACCUUGGCUUCCUAGGAAACUACACCCACGCAGACCCUGGCAUCCCAGGAAACAACAUCUGGAGACCCUGAUCUUCCCAGAAAUAAAACCCAUCCAGACAAUGUCUUCUCAGAAACAACAUACUUGCAAUCUUGGGUUCUCAUGUUACAAUCAACAUAUUAUUUAUUUCCUGUUGGUAUACAAUGCACACGUGGAUGCUAACUUAAGAAGAGAAAUCCACAAGCUCAGACCCUGUCAUCCCUGGGAAUAAUACACACAGACCUAGACCUCCCAGAAAACAUUACACACACACACACACACACACUAGCAUCCACACACAUAGCCCCUGACCUCCCAGGAUACAAAACACAGGCAGACCCUGGCCUCAAAGGAAACAACAUAAUCUCAGACCCUGUCAUCCCUGGGAACAAUACACACAGACCCAGACCUCCCAGGAAACAUUACACACACACACACACACACACACACACACUAGCAUCCACACACAUAGCCCCUGACCUCCCAGGAUACAAAACACAGGCAGAAGCUGGCUCAAAAGAAACACAAUUGCAGACUCUAGUAACCCAGGAAACUACACACACAGACUCAGGUUUCCCAGAAGUCAAAACACACAUAGACCCUGACUGCCCAAAUGACUCACACGGACUCUGGCUUCCUAGGGAGCAAAACAUGCAGACCCUGACUUUUCCAGAAACAAAACCCAUGCGGACCUUGGCUUCAAAGGAAAGCACACACAGAGAUUCUGGCCUCCCAGGAAACAGCACCUGCUCAGACUCCAUACCCCAGAAAAAAACCACAGACUGACAUAUGAAUAAAAGUAAACACAUGUGGAUGAUGGUUCCAUGGAAACAACAUAUGGGCAGACCCUGGCCCCACAGGAGACAGCAUCUGUAGCAGGAACAAGGCUCCCUGGAAUCAAAACUCCCAUAGUUCCUGACAUCCCAGGAAACAGACAUGCACAGACACUGGCCUCCAGAAAAAACACAAUCACAGACCCUGGCAUCCCAGGAAGCAGGAAUCAAAACACACGUCGACAUUUACCACCCAGGAAACGAAACAUAUACAGGCACUUGCAUCCAAGGAUGUAAUGCAUAUAGACUGUACUACCCAGGAAAAAACCACAGGCAGAUCCUGACCUCACUGGAAACAACACACAUGAAUACAACACACGCAAGAAUCUGGCCUCCCAGGAAACAAAAUACUCUUAGAUACCGUUCACCUCCAGGAACAACACAUGUGCAGAAUCUGGCAUCACAGGAAACAAAACAAAGACCUUGACCUCCCAAGAAAGAAGAAACAUGCAUACCCUGGCUUCGAAGUAAAAAACACAAGCACAGAAAGAAUACAAACAGAACCUGGCCUUCAGGAAACAAAAAACAUGCUCACACCGACAUCCCAUGUAAUCCCAUGUAACCAUACACAGGCAGCUCUGACCUCCCAAAAAACAACAGGUGCAGAAAAUAUGGCCAUCCAGGAAACUAAUCACACACACACCCUGAUAUACCAGGAAACAACUCACCCGGACCCUGACCUCUGCAGAUAAAAACAAACGCAGACCCGGUCUUCUCAGGAAACAACACGAGUCAGACUGUGGCAUCCUAGAAAACAGGAAAGACUCACAUUCUGAUCUCAAGUAACACAAGCACAGAACCUGGCCUUGCAGGAAACAGCACAUGGGCAGACUGUGGCUACCCAGGAAACUGAACACGUGCACAACCUGAUCUCCCAGGAAUCCACACAUGCAGACUGAGAGCUCUCAGGCAAAUAAACACGGAGACCUUGGCAUCCAAGGAAACAGUGCACAUACCAAUCAGGCUCCUAGGAAGCAAAACCUGAGCCGAUCCCAGAAAACAAUAUACAGAGACCCUCACCUCGCAGGAAUAAAACACAGGCAGACUCUGGCCUCAAGGAAAAAACAAACAAACAAACAGAGUUAUAGUUCCUGGUGUUGCAGGAAACAAUAUAAACAGAUUUAGGCCUCUCAGGUUCAAAACACCUGUAGAUGCUGUCUAGGACCUAGACAAGCCUGGGUUCUCUGGAAACAAAACACAUCCCCGGGAACCAAUGCAUGCACAGACACUGACACUUCAGGAAGCAACACAAAAACCCCGAACUCCCAGGAAACAAGAAACAUGCAGACCCAAGCACAGAACCGGGUGUCACAGGAAACAGCACAAACAGAAUCUGGCCUGAGAGAAAUGAAACACAGGCAUCUGCUUACCGCCCAGGUAAGAGCACACACACACACCACUGGCCUCCCAGGAAACAACACAUGAAGACCCUACCUUCCUAGGAAUCAACACACACGGAUUCUGGCCUCCCAGGAAAUAGAACACAUGGACACCCUGACCUCCCAAGAAACCACACACACCAGACCCUGGCACACCAGGAAACAACACACAUGCAGACAUUGCCGCCUGGCAAGCAAUAGCUGCCCAUACCCCAGCAUCCCAAGAGAGAACCCAUGCAGGCCCUGGCCUCCAAGGAAACAGCCUACACAGGUCCCAACCUCCCAGAAAUAAAAACAUAAGCAUGUGCACACUGGCCUCUCAGGAAACAACACCUUUUCAGACCCUGGCAUCCCAGGAAACAGAGUACAAACACACUGACCUCCCUGGAACAAAACACAUGCAAACACAGGCUUCCCAUGAAACACACGCAGACCUGGCAUCCUGGGAAGUAAAACAAAAAAACCCUGGCCUCCAGGGGAACAAGACAAUCACAGACCACUGCACUCUAGGAAUCAAGAAACACAGAUUUGGACCUCCCAGAAUCAAACCACACCUCGCUUUCGAUGUCCCAGGAAAAACCAAAGGCAGACCCUGGCUUUCCAGGAAAGGACACUCACGCAGGCCCAGGCCUCCAAGAAAACACACACACUCUGGCCUCCUGGGAAACAACACACAUGCAGACCCUGGCCUCUGGGGGAAACAGCUGCACAACACUGGCAUUCCAGGAAAUAAAACACACACAAACCCUGGCCUCCCCAAAAUCAACACAUGCGCACACCCCGGCAUGCCGGGAAACAACACUCACAGAACAAGGCCUCUCAGGAAACAAAACAAAUGCAGACACUGGCCCAGCAAACAACAGAUGUACAGACCCUGGGAUCCCAGGAAACAAAAUACAGACAUACCCUGGCCUCCAAGGAAACCACACACGAAUACUCUAGUCUACCCGGAACAAAACACACACAAACAGGCUUCCCAGGAAGCACACGUGUGUAGAUGCCAGCGUCCCAGGAAACAACACACAUGUAGACCUUGACCUUCCAGGAAACUAAGCACACUCAUACACAGGCUUCCCAGGAAAGAACACACCCACACACUGGACUUCCAGGAAACAACACACAUAGAUGCAGAACACACACACACACCCAAACGGAGACCCUGACCUCACAGAAAAGAACAGACGCAGACACUGGCAUCCCAGAAAACACAAACAGAGCCCGGUCUCCAAAGAUACAACACACUCACAGAUCCUUGCUUCCCAGAAACACACACAGACCUGGAACUCCCAGGAGACAAAGCCUAUGCAGACACUGGCUCCCUGGUCAAUGAGGCAUCUCAACAAUGAACACAUGCAAGCCCUGAACUCUCAGGAAACACAACACAGGCAGACCCUGCCUUCAAAGAGACAACACACACACACACACACACACACACCCACAAAACCUGGCAUCCCAGGAAACAAAAACACAUAUGCUGGCCUUUCUUCCUCCUGAAAAAACAGAGACCCUGACCUGCCAGGAAACCAAACACAAACAUAGCCCUUCUCCCCCGACAAAGAAACCAAGAAGACACACACAGAUCAUGGCCUCCCAGUAAAUAAGAACCAUUCUACACUGGUCUCCCAGGAAGCAACACACAUGCAGAUCCUGGCCCCUCAAAGCAACACCAGCACAGACCCUGGUAUCCCAGGAAAUAACACACACAUGGAUUCUUGUCUUUCAGGAAACAAACACGUGCAGAGCCUGACCUCCCAAAAACAACGCAGGUACAAACCCCGGCAUGCCAGGAAAUAGACACAGACCCACAGGGUCUGCACACAUGUUGUUUAGUAGAUACAAGCAUCUGCAUGUGGUUUGCUCCUGGGAAUUCAGGGUGUAUAUGUGUUGUUUCCUGGGAGGACAGGCUCUGUGUGUGUUUUGUUCUGGGUAGGUCAGUGUCAUUGUGUCUUGUUUCCUUGAUGCCUGGGUCUACACGUGUGCCUGGGAGUUCCAGGUCUGUAUGUGUUUUUUUUUUUUUCAAAGAUGCCAGGGUCUGUACGUGUGUUUCCUGGGGGUCCAGGGACUGUGCAGGUGCUGUUUCCUGGGAGAUCCAUAUCUGUGUGUAUUUUUAGCUGGGAAACCAUGAUUGUGCAUGUGUUGUUUUUUUGGAAGGGCCAUGCUUUGCAGGAACAGAACACAAGCAAAUGCUGGGCUCCAGUGAACAACACAGGCACGGACAUGGGGAUCCUAUGAAUCAGCACAGGCAGGCCCCUGACCUACCAGGAAACAAAAUGCAGGCAGACCCUGGCUGUCGAGGGAAAAACACAACCACAGACCCUGGGAUUACAGAGACAAUAUAAACAGACUCACACUUCCCAGGAUCAAAGCAAACGUAGGCCCUGACUCCCAGGAAACCACACACACACACAGACCCUGUUCCCCCUGGAAACAACACACAUGCGGACAAGGGCAUCACAGGAAACAACACACACAAUGACCCUGACCUCCCAGGAAACAAGAAACAGACAUACUCUGGCCUCAAAGUUAACAACAUCAGCACAGUAGCCGGCACCACAGGAAACAGCACAGAAAUCAGGCCUGAAAGGGAGCAAAACACGUGACACCUUUACCUCCCAGGUAACAGCACACAUGCAGACCUGAGUCACCAAGGAAACUAAAAACCGGUACACCCUGCUCUCCCAUGAAGCGAUACCCGUGGGCCACGACCUCCCAGAAAAAAAACAACAUACAGAUUGUGACCUCCCAGUAAACUACACACAUGACACCACCACCUCCUAGGAAAUAAUACCUGUGCAGUAACUCGGGAAACAACACACACAGGAGAUAAGACACAUGAAAACCCUGACCCUCCUGGAAACAACACACAGACCCUUGCAUCCAAGGAAACAACCUACACAGAUCCAGACCUCCAAGGAAUAAAAAGUAACACAUAGACACUGACCUCUCAGAAAACAACACAUGAGCAGACACUGACAUCCCAUGAAACAGCAUUGAAGAUCCUGACCUCCCCAGAACAAGAUAACACAAACCCAGGCUUCUCAGGAUGACCUUGGCCUCCAGGGAAACAUCAGCCACAGACCAUUGCUUCUCAGGAAGCAGCAAACACGGAUCCAGGCCUCCUAGAAAUCAAAACACAUUUAAGCCUUGACCUCCCAGGAAAAAAACAUGCAUAGACCCUAGCAUCCCAGAAGACACACACUCAGACCCUGAUCUCCCAACAAACAAAACACACGCACACCCUGCCUUCCAAGGAAACAACACACACAAACACACACGCGACCUGGAAUCCAGAGAAAACACUGAGGUCUUGACUGCCCAGGAAACUAUAAAUGCAGACCUGGCCUCCCAAGAAACAGCACACACAGAGAUCAUGGCUCCCCAGAAAGCAAGAAACAUGCACACACUGGCCUCAAAGGAACAACACACACAAGACACCACUGUCAUCCCAGUAAACAACACACAUACAGACCCUGACCUGACAGGAAGUAACACCUGCAUAGAUCCUGGCUUUCCAGGAAACAAGAUGCACAGCUUCAUCUCCCAGGAAACACAAUACAUAGAUUUGGACCUCCCAGGAAACAUAAUACACACAGACCCUGGCCUCCCAGAAACAACACAUUCAUAGACUCUGGCCUCUAAGAAAAAACACAACCACAGAUCCUGGAAUUCCUGGAAACAACAUAAACAGAUUCAAGUCUCUCAGGGUUCAAAACACAUGUAGACUCUGAUCUCCCAGAAAACAACACACAUACAGUCCCUGUCUUUCAAGAAAACAACACACGAAUUCUGGGCAGGAACCAAUAUAAACAUGCAGAUCCUGACCACUCAUGAAAAUCACAGGUGCAGACCAUAGCAUCUGAGGAAACAACACAGACCCAGGCCUCUCCUAAAUAACACACACAACUCAGCCUUCCCAGGAAAUGACACGUGGAUAGUCUGAGUAUCCAGGAAACAAAACACAAGAUGAACCUGGUUUUCCAGGGAACAACACAAUCAAUAGUGUCCUGGGAUAUUGUUGCCAUGGAUUCGUUUCCGAGAGGAGGAGUGUGGUGGGGGGAAAGAGGCGCGGAGUCACCACACAGACCCCGGAAACCAGGUGAAAGCAGGCCUGAGGCAAGCAGCCCGCAGACUCAUUUAUUUCAGGUGCUACAGCUGCUUAUAUAGCCAAGGCAGCCAAUCCGGUCAAGGGGCGGUCUAUGCCCUAACCAAUCACAGCCUGUUGCCAGGCAGUUUCCGAAACCAUCCAAUCACGGCCUGUUGUCAGUCAGGCUCUACUGUCAUGUGGUUUCCGAAGCCAUCCAGUCAUGGCCUGUUGCCAGGCAGUUUCUGUUGCCAGUAGCCAUCUUGGCAUGACCUUCUCAUUCCACCACAUUUCCCCCUUUUCGUUUAUUUCAAAGAUAGAAAAACAAUCAUAAGCCCCCAGACCCACAGCUUGCUUUGACUGAGGUCCUUUUCACUAUCAAUUUUCUUAGUUUUGAUUCCCAAGGGAUCAGCCCAGCUUAUAAACACUGGGGAUCCUUUCCAUCCCAGACCCCAGCCCCUAUGGUUAAGUGGAAAGACCCCCUGACAGGAGAAUGGAAGGGACCACCACUCUGCUAACCAAGGGUCGAGGAUAUGCUUGUGUCUUUCCAGAAAAUGCAGAACAGCCCAUUUGGGUACCAGCCAGAAACAUCAAGCCUGCAAAUGACAGCCAACCAGAACCAGCUGAACAAGACUGAGAGUCUGCCUUGUUAGCGGACGCACCUGCCCCAUCAUCCUACCCUGAGAAACUGCCCAUAGCCACAUCCAUUACUACUUUAUACCCCACUAGCUCUGGUCAGCCACUCAAAUGGCCCACAGCCUGCGUGUGGUCACUCCAUUCCUGAUUACCACUAUUCUUCAUUCCUACCCCCAUCUGAGCAAGCACUCCUGUGGUCUCCUGUUUUGAGCACUGGUUAGUCAAUGACGAGUAAGAUCCCCUGGGGGACAACCUAAGACAGGCACAGCUGCGUAUGGAGACCACAUGGAAACGGGGUCAACAAUGGUGUGACCAAGAAUCAUGCCUCCCGUUGCUCAAAAAUAAACAAAAAGGGGGAAAUGUGGUGGAAUGAGAAGGCCAUGCCAAGAUGGCUACUGGCAACAGAAACUGCCUGGCAACAGGCCAUGACUGGAUGGCUUCGGAAACCACAUGACAACAGAGCCUGACUGACAACAGGCUGUGAUUGGAUGGUUUCAGAAACUGCCUGGCAACAGGCUGUGAUUGGUUAGGGCAUAGACCGCCCCUUGACCGGAUUGGCUGCCUUGGCUAUAUAAGCAGCUGUAGCACCUGAAAUAAAUGAGUCUGCGGGCUGCUUGCCUCAGGCCUGCUUUCACCUGGUUUCCGGGGUCUGUGUGGUGACUCCGCGCCUCUUUCCCCCCAGCACGCUCCUCCUCUCAGAAACGAAUCCACCUCAACAGGAUAUGGCAACAUACACAGAUUCAGGCUGCCCAGAAAUCAAAACAGAUGUAGAACGAACCUUCCAGGAAACAAAACACAGGCAGACACUGGCUUCCUGGGAAAGAACACACAGCCAGUAGCCUCUCAGGAAACAACAGACAACAACCCCUGGCAUCUGAGGAAACAGCCGAGACAAGUUCUGGCAUCCCCCAUAAAGCACACAGAGACCCUGACCUCCUAGUAAGCAACAUACAUACACAGCGUGGCUCCAGGGAAACAACACCCACAGACCCUGGCCCCCCAGGAGACCACAAACAAUACAGCGUCCUCCCCGGGAGUGACACCUGCAUGGAUGCUGGAAUCCUAGGUCACAGAACACCCUGCUUCCCCAUUUUCUGGGACCGCUGCUGCCAUGUAUCCACAUAUCUGCCCACUGCUGCCAUGUCUCUGUGGAAUGAACUAACCACAGCUACGUCUCUGCCCGUUGUUGCUGUGUCUCCAAGCAAUUGCCCAACCGCUGCUCUGUCUCCAUAUCAUCAGCUGCCUCAUGGUUACUUCUCAAAUAUUCUGCACCUGCUGUCAUGUCUCCAUGGAAUAGAUCACCCACCGUGAUGUCUCCAUAUCAUGGUCCACAUGCCUGUCUAUUCUCUGCCAACUGCUUCCGUGUCUCAGUACCCUGUGCUACCUCCUGCCAUAUCUUUAGAUUAUGGGUCACGUUAUGCUUUGUCUCCCUAUCAGGAGCCUCUUGCGCCCUGUCACAAUAUCUGACUACUGCUGCCAUGUUUCUGUGUCAUGGGCUAUGUGCUCCCAUUACUCUAGAUCACGUGCCAACUGCUUCCAUGCCUCCGUGUUACGGGCCACUGGACUCACUGCAUCUGGAUCGUGUGUCUCCUGCUGCCUCCAAUCAGUCACCCAAUACCAUGCACCAUAAUAUGGGGCACCUCCUGUCAUUUCACCGUAACAUCUGCCACCUGCUGCCAUAUCUACAAAAGAGCCAGGGGACAUGUUUUCUCCCCAUCAUGAUUCUGUGUCUGCCACCUGCUGCCUUUUCUACUAUUAUGGGACAGAUGUCAUUUUACCUGCCUCUCUUGGGUCUCUGCUGCACAGGCACUGACUAUCCAUCCACUGCUGCCGUGUCUCCAUGUCAGGAGCCAACUGCUGCCAUGUUGAAGACAUUGUGCCACCUGCUGCUGUGUGUGCGUUUCCUGGCCCACCUCUGCCAUGUCUCCGUGCCAUUGGCCACCAUCUUCCAUGGUUGCAUAUUAAAGGUGACCUUACACCUCAUCUUACUGUCAUGUGACUCCUGCUGCAGAUUUCCCUUCAUCUGCCAACAGCAUCUUCCAAUUGUGGACCACCUGCUGCCAUCUCUCCAUUUCGCCUGCCACCUGCUCCCGUGUCUCCAUAUGAGCACCUGAAGCCCACUGCUGCCAUGUCUCCAUGGAUUCAACUAACUACUGCCACAUCUCUGUCAAUCUGCCCACUGAUGCUGUGUGUCCAGAUGACUGCCCAGCUGCUGCUGUGUCCAUAUCAUCAGCCACUUCUUCAAUGUAUUCUGCCACCUGCUGCCAUGCCUCCUUGUAAUUGGCAACCUGCCGCCCUGUUUUGCUGUCAUGAGAAAACAUGCAUUCCUGAUUGUAUUCUCUGCUACUUGUGGCCAGACCUGCACAUCAUGAGCCACCUGUCAUCUCUCUCCUGGUCUGAGGCCACCUCCUGCGAUGUCUCCCUAUAAUGUCCCACUGCUUCUGGGGCUCCAUAUCUCAGACUACCUGCUGUGAGAUCUCUAGAUCAUAGGCAUCCUGUUGCCUUGUCUUCCUGUCUUGUGCCACUGCUUCUGGGUCUCUGUAUCCCGAGCUGUCUGCUGGUGUGUGUCUUGUGUCAUGUCCCACCUCUAGCUACGUCUCUGUAUCAUCUGUCCCUGCUUCGUGGUUGCAGAUCACAGGCAACCUGUGGCCCAGUCUCACUAACAUGAGCCUUCUGCUGCCUGCCUCCCUAUAUCUUCAAACUUCUGCAGAGCCUCUGAACAUGGGGCACCUACUUCUGAUUCUCCACCUUGUCUGCCACAUGCCACCACGUGUCCACUUCAAUGGCUACCUGAUGCCUUACCACCACCUCAUGGGUAGCAGCCACUGUGUAUCCACGCAUCUGCCCACUGCUGCCGUGUCUCCAUGUAAUCAAAUAACUGCUGCUAUGCCUCUGUCAAUCUGCUCUCUGCUGCCAUGUCUCUAUAGCCACCUGGAGCACUGUUGACCUGUAUGGGUCUCCUGCUGCAAUGACUUAGUAUGUUUGACACCUGCUACAGUGUCUCUAUAUCAUGGGCCAUGUUAUGUCCUGCCUCUCUGUCAUGGACAUGCUGUUGUCACGGAUCACCAUACCUACCCACGGGUACCAGGUCUCUAUGGAAUGGACUGACUGCUGCCAUGUCUCUGUCCAUCUCUCCACUGCUGCUGUGUCUCCAUGGAACUGCCAGCUGCCACCAUGCAUUACUCAAUAUAUUCUGCCACCUGCCCCU